GUCUGUGCCAUACCACCCUGAAUGCACCCAAUCAUGUCUGAUCUCGGAAGCUAAGCAGGGUCAGGCCUGGUUAGUACUUAGAUGGGAGACUGCCUGGGAAUACUGGGUGCUGUAGGCU
rnacentral:rRNA from 1 species